UCAAGGCUCCAGAAUAUUUUGGGUUUUUGAUGUCCAGCGAUGCAUUCUGGAGGGUUAUUUUUAUGACUAUUUUCUCACCCUGAUCCCCCUCAGUUCAGCUGUACUGCUUAAUGUGUGUUGUAUUUUCUUUGCACAUAUUCCUUGCCUUCAACCAAAACUG